CGAAAUUAUCUUAAAAUGGCACAUCUAUUAAGAGCAGCGGUGAUGUGGGCGCCGGUAAGUGUGGGUAACGGAUUAACUUCAAAAGUAGAGUCAAUAAGAGCAGUGGAGGAAAUCCCCCCAAAUGCAGUACGAAGAAAGAUGGAUACAACGUGGAGAGGAGGUUUCAGUCUUGGUGUGGAUUUGGGCCUUGCUCGAACUGGCCUUGCCCUUAGUAAAGGCUUCAAUUUUCGACCCUUAACGGUAUUGGAGUUGAGAGGACAGAAACUUGAACUUCGAAUCAUUGAUAUUGCCCUAAAACAGGAAGUGGAUGAGUUUAUAAUUGGACUGCCUUUGUCAAGUGAUGGAAAGGAAACUCCACAAUCUAACAAAGUUAGAAGUGUUGCUGGUAGGCUUGCUGUUCGAGCUGCUGAGAGGGGCUGGAGAGUAUAUCUGCAGGAAGAGUAUGGGACAACAAUUGAGGCCAUGAGCUACAUGGUUGAUAGGGGCCUCGGAAAAUCUGCUCGUGAAGGGAAACAGGACGCCUAUGCUGCUGCUAUGGUGCUUGAGAGAUACUUUUUAGAGUCAGGUCGAAGAAUCGAGCUAGUGUUACCCAAGCAGUUGGAUCUGCAGGAGAGGCUCAAGAAGGGAUGUUCCAAGGAUGCUGAUUAUUUUACAGAUGAAUCUGAUUAGUUGAUAAUUUGCAACCCUUUCAGGAACCCCCAAGGAUGCUGAUUAUUUUACAGAUGAAUCUGAUUAGUUGAUAAUUUUGCAACCCUUUCAGGAACCCCCAACAACUUCCUAGUUGUAGGAAAGAAGGUUGAAUGGAUCAUUACAGUGACUGUGAUAGCUCUAAGCCACUUGAAUAGUACUUAUACCUUUAGAAGACAUGGAUGGUUUACCCUGUUAUAUAUUUUAAAAAUAUCUUGCUCCUGUAUAUAAUGUUCGAGAGAAAAGCAUUCAUGUAUCUUUGUCCGAGCAAAAUAGGUUGUAAGUGUAAAGACAUGAGCUGUGCUCAAACAAUAAGAUAAAACAAUUUCAUUGUAAGAGU